rnacentral:rRNA from 1 species
UACGGAGGGUGCAAGCGUUAUCCGGAUUCACUGGGUUUAAAGGGUGCGUAGGCGGGUAAGUAAGUCCGUGGUGAAAUCUCUGAGCUUAACUCAGAAACUGCCGUGGAUACUAUUUGCCUUGAAUAUUGUGGAGGUGAGCGGAAUAUGUCAUGUAGCGGUGAAAUGCUUAGAUAUGACGUAGAACACCAAUUGCGAAGGCAGCUCACUACACAAUCAUUGACGCUGAGGCACGAAAGCGUGGGGAUCAAACAGG